rnacentral:rRNA from 1 species
GACGAACGCUGGCGGCGUGCUUAACACAUGCAAGUCGAACGGAAAGGCCUUUUCGGCGGUACUCGAGUGGCGAACGGGUGAGUAACACGUGGGUGAUCUUCCCUGCACUCUGGGAUAAGCCUGGGAAACUGGGUCUAAUACCGGAUAGGACCGCACUUUAGUGUGUGUGGUGGAAAGUUUUUUCGGUGUAGGAUGAGCCCGCGGCCUAUCAGCUUGUUGGUGGGGUAAUGGCCUACCAAGGCGGCGACGGGUAGCCGGACUGAGAGGUUGGUCGGCCACAUUGGGACUGAGAUACGGCCCAGACUCCUACGGGAGGCAGCAGUGGGGAAUAUUGCACAAUGGGCGCAAGCCUGAUGCAGCGACGCCGCGUGGGGGAUGACGGCCUUCGGGUUGUAAACUCCUUUCGCCAGGGACGAAGCGUUUUGUGACGGUACCUGGAGAAGAAGCACCGGCUAACUACGUG